rnacentral:rRNA from 1 species
UACGGGAGGCAGCAGUGGGGAAUAUUGCACAAUGGGCGCAAGCCUGAUGCAGCCAUGCCGCGUGUAUGAAAAAGGCCUUCGGGUUGUAAAGUACUUUCAGUCGUGAGGAAGGUGUUAAGGUUAAUAACCUUAGCAAUUGACGUUAGCGACAGAAGAAGCACCGGCUAACUCCGUGCCAGCAGCCGCGGUAAUACGGAGGGUGCGAGCGUUAAUCGGAAUUACUGGGCGUAAAGGGCACGCAGGCGGUUAAUUAAGUUGGAUGUGAAAUCCCCGGGCUUAACCUGGGAAUGGCAUUCAAGACUGGUUAGCUAGAGUCUUGUAGAGGGGGUAGAAUUCCAUGUGUAGCGGUGAAAUGCGUAGAGAUGUGGAGGAAUACCGGUGGCGAAGCGGCCCCUGGACAAAGACUGACGCUCAUGUGCGAAAGCUGGGGAGCAAACAGGGAUUAGAUACC